rnacentral:sRNA from 1 species
UGUAAUUUAACCUCCAGAGAAAACUCACUUGUCUAUGUUAAUCUUCAGCAAACAAAGGUUUUUAAAACUAUGAAUUUGUGGGAGAAAUAAUAUGAUUAGGAAGCAGGAGCAGGGGAACCUUAUUUCUUAUUGCGUUAGUUAUGGGAAUCACUGAUGGGCUGGAAGAUCACACUGGGUCAGGGUUCAGUGUUUGGUUCUUGUCUACUGACCUUGUGAGUUCUCAGAGCAUCAGCAAGUGAUGUGCACGUGUGGUACCCCUGUCUGCUCACCAUAUGCUUUUGUUUUAGGUUCUCCCAUGGCACCAGCCAGUGUGGGCAAUUGCAGUGUGGGCAACUGCAGCCCGGAGGCAGUGUGGCCCAAAACUGAACCCCUGGAGAUGGAAGUACCCCAGGCACCUAUACAGCCCUUCUAUAGCUCUCCAGAACUGUGGAUCAGCUCUCUCCCAAUGACUGACCUGGACAUCAAGUUUCAGUACCGUGGGAAGGAGUACGGGCAGACCAUGACCGUGAGCAACCCCCAGGGCUGCCGACUCUUCUAUGGGGACCUGGGUCCCAUGCCUGACCAGGAGGAGCUCUUUGGUCCAGUCAGCCUGGAGC